rnacentral:rRNA from 1 species
UCCAGACUCCUACGGGAGGCAGCAGUGGGGAAUAUUGCACAAUGGGGGAAACCCUGAUGCAGCAACGCCGCGUGAGUGAGGAAGUAUUUCGGUAUGUAAAGCUCUCUCAGCAGGGAAUAGAAAAGAAGGUACCUGAAAAAGAAGCCCCGGCUAACUACGUGCCAGCAGCCGCGGUAAUACGUAGGGGGCGAGCGUUAUCCGGAUUCACUGGGUGUAAAGGGAGCGUAGACGGCCAUGCAAGCCAGGGGUGAAAGCCCGGGGCCCAACCCCGGGACUGCCCUUGGAACUGCAUGGCUGGAGUGCGGGAGGGGCAGGCGGAAUUCCUGGUGUAGCGGUGAAAUGCGUAGAUAUCAGGAGGAACACCGGCGGCGAAGGCGGCCUGCUGGACCGCGACUGACGUUGAGGCUCGAAAGCGUGGGGAGCAAACAGGAUUAGAUACCCUAGUAAU